UUUUAGGACUGCUUAUUGGUGGAAUGAAUCAGAACAGUGGAGGCCCCUGGAGGGGAGGAAAAUAUAAAAAGCAGCUGUUCUCUUUCAAAACUUGGCCUCUCAAAAUGUGAAGAUGUGUGAACGGAGCCUCCAGGAGAACCGCCAGCUCAGAAGGUGAUAAAGCAAAGGACCCUUCAGCAUUUCACAUUGGAAACUCCUUAAGGAGUUACAUCGGCCCCUCGUUCCUACCAGCUAUGAAGUUAUCUACUUCUUGUUUAUUUCAUCAAGGCUUUGGCAUAUUGCCAUCAUGGAGUAAGUAUAAUUCUGCAUUCUGCUGUUUGCAUUUCAU
rnacentral:lncRNA from 1 species